CAGGCAUAGUGAUGAUGUGUAUUUUUCUGAUUUAUUCUUGAUGAAUUAAUUACCUCCUACUCAUACUGA